rnacentral:lncRNA from 1 species
CAAAAGGUGUGAUUCUUUAACUCCUGGGAAGUAACAGACAGCAGGAAUCUGACAAUAUCAGAAUAUCAACAUUACCUGAGAUUGUCAUAGGAUUGCCUCAGAAAAGGUUGGAUUCCAAUAAGUUGCUGAAUCAGAAAACUCGAUUCAAAGAAAUUCAACUCAAACUGGAUUUUCUUUUUUGCCUUUGGUAGAAUUUUAACAAAAAGCCCGGAAUUUUGUCUACCUUUUCUAGAAUUUUUCUAAGGUAUGUAUUUCCUUGCAUUUAUAAUGGAGACAUUAUAUGACAUAAUUUUG